rnacentral:misc_RNA from 1 species
UCCGGUUUGUCACCGGCAGUCUCAUUAGAGUGCCCAACUGAAUGUAGCAACUAAUGACAAGGGUUGCGCUCGUUGGAGGACUUAACCCGACAUCUCACGACACGAGCUGACGACGACCAUGCAGCACCUGUCACUUAGCUCCCUUGCGGGCACCACCCUGUUUCCAGGGUGUUCUAAGGAUGUCAAGUCCUGGUGAGGUUCUUCGCUUAGUGUCGAAUUAAACCACAUGCUCCACCGCUUGUGUAGAUCCCCGUCAAUUCCUUUGAGUUUUAACCUUGCGGUCGUACUUCCCAGGCGGGUUACUUAACGCGUUAGCUUAGGCUCGUACGGGGUCGAGACCGCACAAACCGAGUAACCAUCGUUUACGGCGUGGACUAC